rnacentral:rRNA from 1 species
CUACGGGGGGCACCAGUGAGGAAUUUUGCGCAAUGGGGGAAACCCUGACGCAGCAACGCCGCGUGAGCGAAGAAGGCCUUCGGGUCGUAAAGCUCUGUCAAGUGGGAAAAAAAUUCUUUGAUGAACAGUCAAAGGACUUGAUGGUACCACUGGAGGAAGCACCGGCUAACUCCGUGCCAGCAGCCGCGGUAAUACGGAGGGUGCAAGCGUUGUUCGGAAUUACUGGGCGUAAAGAGCGUGUAGGCGGUUUGACAAGUCAGAUGUGAAAGCCCCGGGCUCAACCCGGGAAGUGCAUUUGAACUGUUUCACUAGAGUAUGGGAGAGGAGAUUGGAAUUCCUGGUGUAGAGGUGAAAUUCGUAGAUAUCAGGAGGAACACCCGUGGCGAAGGCGAUUCUCUGGACCAAUACUGACGCUGAGACGCGAAAGCGUGGGGAGCAAACAGGAUUAGAUACCCGUGUAGUC